UACAGAGGUGGCAAGCGUUGUUCGGAAUUAUUGGGCGUAAAGCGCGCGCAGGCGGCGAUCUACGUCUGGGGUGAAAGCCCGGAGCUCAACUCCGGGACUGCCUUGGAUACGGGACCGCUUGAGGAUUGGAGAGGCAAGGGGAAUUCCACGUGUAGCGGUGAAAUGCAUUGAGAUCGGAAAGAACACCAACGGCGAAAGCACUCUGCUGGGCCGACACUGACACUGAGAGACGAAAGCUAGGGGAGCAAAUGGG
rnacentral:rRNA from 1 species